rnacentral:rRNA from 1 species
CCUACGGGAGGCAGCAGUGGGGAAUAUUGGGCAAUGGGCGCAAGCCUGACCCAGCAACGCCGCGUUAAGUAAGAAAGCCCUCGGGUUUUAAACUUCUUUUAUUCGUGACGACACAAAUGACGGUACCGAAUGAAUAAUCCACGCCUAACUACGUGCCAGCAGCCGCGGUAAUACGUAGGUGGCAAGCGUUAUCCGGAUUUACUGGGUGUAAAGGGCGUGUAGGCGGGAGAGCAAGUCAGACGUGAAAUUCCAGGGCUCAACACUGGAACUGCGUUUGAAACUGUUCUUCUUGAGUGAUGGAGAGGCAGGCGGAAUGCCGUGUGGAGCGGGGAAAUGCGUAGAGAUACGGAGGAACACCAGUGGCGAAGGCGGCCUGCUGGACAUUAACUGACGCUGAGGCGCGAAAGCGUGGGGAGCAAACAGGAUUAGAGACCCGUGUAGUC